CUCUUGGAGUCGUUGCCGUCGCUUUUGAGACACGUCUCCUCAAGAUGAGAGCGAAGUGGAGAAAGAAGCGCAUGCGCAGGCUGAAGCGUAAAAGGAGAAAGAUGAGGCAGAGGUCCAAGUGAACUGCACCACACUGCUGCAGCUGGGAUUACUCCUCCACUUCAUCCUCUCAGUGAGAAGUCGAUGGAGAUGCCAGUGACAGAUAUGUUCUUCCUCGCUGAUUAAGUCGGUCAAAGAGUUCUCCAUUCUUCACCAGAGGAGCAAGCCGCAGUAUGCUGUGAAGGAAGAGGCAUCUUUGCUUGGCUACGCUGUCGGAUCUUUGUUCUGAUGACCUUGAAAGAACUUUCCUUUGGUGUCUGUUGGAGUCCUGAGCUCAGCAGUUCCUUUUGUUUAUAUGUCUUCAAUAAAAAAAUUUUUUGGUUUUCAAAAGU